AAUUCGUGGUGCGAGGAUUUUUGAAUCAACAUCCUGAAAUGUUCCCACACUUCAUAGAAACUUUCUCCCUCCAUCUGUUUAAAGAUAUCAAUCUCUCUUCUUAGUU
rfam:Gossypium raimondii Chr05_contig_464, whole genome shotgun sequence.